rnacentral:sRNA from 1 species
GAGGUCAUUAAAUUAAUAUAUACCGCCA